UGUCACUCUCUCUCUCACUCUGGCUGAGUCUCCAUCUGGAGCUUGGAACCCGCCAUGCUUACUAAUUAUGCCUGGGCUUCUAAGAUCCGACCGGGGAGGCCUCAGUGUCUCCUCUCCUUCGGGAGAACAGAAGGAUGCCUGCGGCCUACAACUGCUUUUGAGCUGUGGUGUUGGAGAAAACUCUUGAGAGUCCCUUGGACUGCAAGGAGAACAAACCUUUUAAUCCUAAAGGAAAUCAAUCCUGAAUAUUCAUUGGAAGGACUAAUGCUGAAGCUGAAGCUCCAAUACUUUGGCCACCUG
ensembl:lncRNA